rnacentral:rRNA from 1 species
GAUGAACGCUGGCGGCGUGCCUAAUACAUGCAAGUCGAGCGAACAGACGAGGAGCUUGCUCCUCUGACGUUAGCGGCGGACGGGUGAGUAACACGUGGAUAACCUACCUAUAAGACUGGGAUAACUUCGGGAAACCGGAGCUAAUACCGGAUAAUAUAUUGAACCGCAUGGUUCAAUAGUGAAAGACGGUUUUGCUGUCACUUAUAGAUGGAUCCGCGCCGCAUUAGCUAGUUGGUAAGGUAACGGCUUACCAAGGCAACGGUGCGUAGCCGACCUGAGAGGGUGAUCGGCCACACUGGAACUGAGACACGGUCCAGACUCCUACGGGAGGCAGCAGUAGGGAAUCUUCCGCAAUGGGCGAAAGCCUGACGGAGCAACGCCGCGUGAGUGAUGAAGGUCUUCGGAUCGUAAAACUCUGUUAUUAGGGAAGAACAAAUGUGUAAGUAACGAUGCACGUCUUGACGGUACCUAAUCAGAAAGCCACGGCUAACUACGU